rnacentral:rRNA from 1 species
AUUGAACGCUGGCGGCAGGCCUAACACAUGCAAGUCGAGCAGAUGACGGGAGCUUGCUCCUUGAUUCAGCGGCGGACGGGUGAGUAAUGCCUAGGAAUCUGCCUGGUAGUGGGGGACAACGUUUCGAAAGGAACGCUAAUACCGCAUACGUCCUACGGGAGAAAGCAGGGGACCUUCGGGCCUUGCGCUAUCAGAUGAGCCUAGGUCGGAUUAGCUAGUAGGUGAGGUAAUGGCUCACCUAGGCGACGAUCCGUAACUGGUCUGAGAGGAUGAUCAGUCACACUGGAACUGAGACACGGUCCAGACUCCGACGGGAGGCAGCAGUGGGGAAUAUUGGACAAUGGGCGAAAGCCUGAUCCAGCCAUGCCGCGUGUGGGAAGAAGGUCCUCGGAUUGUAAAGCACUUUAAGUUGGGAGGAAGGGCAGUAAGUUAAUACCUUGCUGUUUUGACGUUACCGACAGAAUAAGCACCGGCUAACUCUGUGCCAGCCGCCGCGGUAA